GUUCCAGGACAUUCCACAGAUGCUCAAUUGGAUAGAGAUCUGGGGAAUUUGGAGGCCAAGGCAACACCUUGAACUCUUUCUCAUAUUCCUCAAUCCAUUCCUGAACAUGUUUUGCAGUGUGGCAGGGUGCAUUAUCCUGCAGAAAAACUGCCAACAGGGAACACCACUUCCUCCACAGGGUUUACGUGGUCUGUAACAAUUUCUAGGUAGGAGGUAGGUGUCAAAGUAGCAUCCACAUGAAUGCCAGGAACCAGAAUAUUGCCCAGAGCAUAAC